AACCCUCCAGUCCUCAAUAAGAAUAAUUUGCCCAGCCACUGCUGGUCAGAUAACACACAGCAGAGCUGUUGGUACUACGUUCUUGGAUCAAAGAUUGUAUUAAUUACAUAUUUUCUGGAAUACAACUCUCCUUCCUACAGGGCUAAAGCUGUUAUGCACUGUCAAUACAUUCUACAGAUAUCUCUGCUAACUCUAAUCUCCCUGCCAGGUACGUUUUAUCUUUGUUUCGGUUAAUUAUAUCUAUCAGUGGUUUUUCUCAUCACAAGGGCAAUGAUGUUUUAAAUCGCGGUUUUCAGGCACACUGGCCCAGAACUGGUCAGUUUGGUACAGGGACAGGGACAGGGACAGGACUAUCGUUAUCUGUGCAUCAAAAGGCUCAUCAGUGGUAUUUGACUGUACAUACAGCUACCCAGCUACCCAGAUAGUUAGAAGAAGGAUAUGGUUCACUCCGAGAGACUAGACGGCUCACAGCAAGGAGAUGGAGUGUUUAACACAUCUGGACUGAUUAAGACAAGAUACAGUAUAAGAACAGAGUUUUAUGACCAAGACAAUAACUGCACACUGAAACUCAACAAUGUGACUGAAGAUGACAGUGGUCGAUUUUUCUUCCGAUUUUAAUCAAAUACAAGUAAUGACGCCCCUCAGGGAUUUACAGGAUCAUUGGGUGUGGACCUGAAAAUAUCAGUCUUAUCCCUAAAGUUAAAUGAAAAUGGCCCUGUUAAGAAGAGAGAUAAUGUCAUCCUGGCCUGCACCUCCACCUGUAAACUUCCUCAAAUGGAGUUCCUCUGGUUUAAAGAUGGCCGCCCACUCUCUGGUGUCCCUGGUGGGCAGUAUCCUCUAGGUCCACUUUCCCCUAAUGACACUGGGUGCUACUCCUGUGCUCUGGGGCAAGGCAUAUCUACACCAAUACUGCUGGAUGUGAGAUAUGCUCCAAGGGACGUUUCUGUUAAGGUCAGCCCGAGCCCCGAGGUAGUGAACGGCAGUCGUCUGACUAUGACCUGCAGCAAUAACGCCAACCCUGCAGCACAGACCUACAUCUGGUUUCAGAGGUCAGGACCGCUAACUUCACUAAGAUUAGGGAUGGGGAAAGAACACACCUUCAAAGAAAUAGAUUCUGAUGACAGUGGACUGUACUUCUGUAUGGCCCAGAAUGCCCUUGGAUCACAGAACUCUACAGACCUGGAGGUGAAAGUUAAAGGUUGUGCAACACUUCUGCACUUCUUGUAUGUCACGCUGUUGUGAUAUCUGUCCUGUGUAUCUCAACAAAACAAUGGCAUGCAGACAGGGAUAUGAAGUUACAGUAUAUGAUGUUGCAUGUCAUCUGUGGAAUAUCUUGGAGGAAAUAUUUUAUAUACAAAACCAUGGUCUGAUCGGUUCUAAUAGUGUAUUUUCAGAAUCAGCCCAUUUAAUGAUGGUCCUGGCAGCAUUUUGGGCUCUUUUCCUUGUCACAGCAGUGAUUGUGGUGCUCAACAUUUACAUAAAAAGAAUUGGAACAGGGCUGAGAAGAAGCUUCCGACCAAACAAGUCCCCCAGGUAGGUGUUCAGAGGAAAGUAAUGUACUAACAGUAGCCUUACUGUGGUUGUCUGCUUCUACCCCUUCACCAACACAGUCAGUCUGAUCACCAGGCCCUGUUGUCUGAAGGGAAAUUACUAAAUCGGUAACUGUGGAGAGUCACUUCAAAGUGAUGCAAUGGACUAUGUUGUCAUUGCAAAACAAACCUUACACAUGUAAUUUAUUGUUCUAUUUUUCUUAGAUAAUAAAAACCGGCUCGUAUGAAAGUGAAUGGUAAAUGUGUAAAUCAAUCCCAUUGAACUUUGAGUUAGUUAAACUAUACCAAAGAGUAGAAAGAGAGUCAUUCUAUGUCUGGGGCCAGUGCUCAGUAUUUUGACUGUAUUCUGACUGUUAGAUACAAAAAUCAACAUUGUCUACACCAGAGGACAUCUAUGAAAACAUGAGACGGUCAGUCAAGCCGAUCACUGAUCCUGAUGACAUGAACUACGCAGAGCUCAAUAUCAGCCCUGCUCCUUCACCCAUGUAAAUAACCACAGAGAGGCAGCGGAAUAACAAGGCAGAGGAUGACAAUGCAGUUAACUACAGCCAACUACAAUCACACUGAGGUGGUCAGAGUAAGUACAAACAAUGUACAGUGUACAAUGUACAAAAUAAACAGUAAAAAAGUGGAUAAUUAAACAAAUACAAACAUAAAAUGAUUACAUGAGAACACAGGGUAUGCCAUUUAACAACAGGUUAUAAAGAAAUGUGCAUUUCAUAUUGCUCUGUGCUAUAUAAGAGAUCUGUAUAUUUCUCAUGAUUACAAC